AAAUGGAUAACUCAUAAAUCCCUAGGGGAUAAGGAUCACCAAGGUUUAGAAAGCCAGCAAAAACGACGACGUUUAAGUAGAGGACAGAGGAGAAGGAACGUUUCUUUGCGUCAGCGUGUUGCCGUGUCGGUCUGGCGUAGAGUUGCCGCGGCAAAAUAAUGCGUUUUCCCUCGCGGCCUUGCGCUUGCAUUGCGUCGCGUCGCUUUGCGGCAGAAUUUUAAAAAAAGAAAAAACGAAACAGAACAGGAGAAGAGAGAGGCUUUUUGCCGCUUUUGCGUUUGGGUUUGGGGGGUUUUUAAAAGGUUUUUCCUCAAGGCACAAACGAAACUGUUCUUCCCUUCCAAACACACCCUCUCUCUCUCUCCACCUCCGUUAAUCACUCCGUUUACGACGUCGUUUUCCCUCUCCUUCCCUGCCCCGUUCUUUCUCUUCAAUUUCGUUUCUUGUUCUCUUUCUUCUCUCUCCCCUGCAAUUUUGUCUUCAUUGUUCAAUUUCAUGGCUCAUCUUAAAGUCUGUUCGCCGCGGCCAAACGGUGACGUUUUUCGUGAAGAUCGACCCUGCCCUUCGCCGCCAUCCCCGUCAUUGCCGACCUCCAAUCCCGAUCCCUCCGCCGUCAGCCCUGACUCUUGGGCCAGAGGCGAGGACGCAACCCGCGACAUAGUCUCAAAGAUUCAGCCCACUCUGGUGACCCACCAGGCGAGGAAGGAGGUUAUUCAAUAUGUACAGAGCCUCAUCACAUCUAACGUUGGAUGUCAGGUUUUUCCGUAUGGGUCAGUUCCAUUAAAAACAUAUCUUCCUGAUGGAGAUAUUGAUUUGACGGCAUUCAGCAGUGCAAACAUUGAGGAAAGCUUUGUAACCGAUGUUCAUGCUAUCCUGAAGGGAGAGGAGAAUAAUGAAGCUGCUCAGUGUCUUGUGAAGGAUGUCCAUUGCAUUGAUGCCGAGGUUAAGCUUGUGAAAUGCAUUGUACAAAAUAUAGUAGUAGAUAUAUCCUUCAACCAGUUAGGAGGACUUUGUACACUGCGCUUUCUUGAACAGGUCGAUCACUAUAUUGGCAAAGAUCAUCUUUUCAAACGCAGCAUUAUUCUGAUAAAAGCCUGGUGCUACUAUGAGAGUCGUAUUCUUGGUGCUCAUCAUGGGUUGAUUUCAACAUAUGCUUUGGAAACAUUAAUCCUAUAUAUUUUCCAUAUUUUUCAUUCUUCUCUAGAUGGCCCUUUAACGGUCCUUUAUAGAUUUUUGGAUUACUUCAGCAAAUUUGAUUGGGAGAACUACUGUAUAAGUUUAAAUGGACCAGUAUGCAAAUCGUCCCUGCCUGAUAUAGUGGCUGAGGUUCCCAAAAAUGGGGGAGAUGAUCUACUGCUGAGUGAAGAAUUUAUUAGAAAUUGUGUGGAAAUGUUCUCUGUUCCAUCAAAGUUGUGUGAGACAAACUUGCGAUCUUUUCCCCUGAAGCAUCUUAAUAUAAUUGAUCCACUAAAAGAGAAUAACAACCUUGGGCGUAGUGUCAAUAGAGGUAGCUUCUAUCGGAUAUGCAGUGCUUUUAAAUUUGGAGCUCGCAAGCUUGGUUGGAUUCUUUCGUUACCAGGAGAAAGAAUAGCAGAUGAGCUGAACAAGUUUUUUGCAAACACUUUAGAUAGGCAUGGAAGCAACUGUCAGACUAAUGAUAAAAAUGAUGCCUUAUCUGGAGGUCUUGAAUCUCUGAACAUUUUGUUGGAGCUUGGUGGAGAUUUUGACAAUCACUGCUUGAACCUGCAAUAUGGUCCCUAUUUCCCUGGGUCUGCUACAUCACCUCCUUUAUUGCCAAGUCCUCCAUUGUCCCCUCAGCCAUGGAAAGAGAAUCCAUGGGGAGUUACCACUGAAGCCGUUCAGUUCCACCAGAAUAUUAAUUCUCAAACUAACAUAAAUGGCGUUGCUUGGGGAGCACAUGUGUACCAUGCAAAUGAUUCCACUUUAUCUGUUGCUGCUUUCAGAGGAGAGAAGAAGAAACCACGAGGGACAGGGACGUACAUCCCCAAUGCGGUAGUGGCUUUUCUGGUUCCUAUAGAAUCAAUUUUUGGGGCUGCAAUCCUUCUUUUCAGAGUUAUCGUCCCUAUAAGGAUAGGUUCUUGCCUGGAAGGGGAAGGAAACAGGCACCGGGAACGUGUUUUCCAUUGCAGAGACACGCUUUUAGUUAUGGCUUUGCUGCAGCCCCUCAAGAGUCAAUCUCACCGAGAGAAUACAACCGCCAGCUCUCAGAAGCAGAGUACCCAGUUUUAGGUCGUGGGAACUCUGCAAAGACAGAUUACCAUCCACAUCACCUUUCAAUCUGGGAGUCUUUCCAUGACAUUGGUUUGUCCAACUUGCCAGAGAAAUCUGAGUGUAGAUCCUUGUCCCCUCCAUCAUGGGAAUCACACAUUCCAGAAGUGGACAGUCAAUCAGAGUUAUUCAGAGCCAAUGAGGAGAGGAUUGAAGAGCAGUCAUACCAUCUGAAAAAUGAUGACGAUUUUCCCCCCCUCACCCCUCAAGUGCCUUUGAAGGAAGGAUUAUGCGUUGGAGAAUGAAGACACUUAUACUUGUAGAUGCUAACACACUAGACUGAGCUUCUGAUGAGACAUCUUCCCGACUUCAACUCUUCUUGGGGUCCUGCGUUGUUUGUUGGUUUGAUGUAGUAUACAUAUGUUGUACAUUCUGGUUCGCUUUUCAUUUUCCGAAUCGACACGCACAUUUGUGUGCUUUGAUUGGGUUGGGUGGAUGAUGUAUAUAUGGGGUGAAGUUUGCCCCUCAUUUCGCAUUCCCUCCCAAAGUUUGGAGAGUUAUAAACACAGUACUGAGAAGCCUCUGUUAGGUAUAUUUUCGGUUAGAUACUGGUUAGUGUACACAUGAUGAAAUCUAUAGAUGUAACAAUGAAAAUUUUGUUUAUGUUA